rnacentral:rRNA from 1 species
UUGGAGGGCAAGUCUGGUGCCAGCAGCCGCGGUAAUUCCAGCUCCAAUAGCGUAUAUUAAAGUUGUUGCAGUUAAAAAGCUCGUAGUUGAAUUUCGGGACUAAUAUGUCGGUCGUACUUUGUACGUACUAGCAUUAUUGGUUUCUCCCUUCUGACGAACCACGAUGUCAUUAAUUUGGUGUCGCGGGAAAUCAGGACUGUUACUUUGAAAAAAUUAGAGUGUUUAAAGCAAGCUCGCGCUUGAAUACAUUAGCAUGGAAUAAUGAAAUAGGACGUUUGAUUCUAUUUUGUUGGUUUCUAGGAUCGACGUAAUGAUUAAUAGGGAUAGUUGGGGGCAUUAGUAUUCAAUUGUCAGAGGUGAAAUUCUUGGAUUUAUUGAAGACUAACUACUGCGAAAGCAUCUGCCAAGGAUGUUUUCAUUAAUCAAGAACGAAAGUUAGGGGAUCGAAGACGAUCAGAUACCGUCGUAGUCUUAACCAUAAACUAUGCCGACUAGGGAUCGGAUGAUGUUAAUUUUUUAAUGACUCAUUCGGCGCCUUACGGGAAAC